rnacentral:SRP_RNA from 1 species
GCCGGGCAUUGUGGCGGGUGCCUGUAGUCCCAGCUACUUGGGAGGCUGAGGCAGGAGACUCGCUUGAGCCCAGGAGUUGGAGGUUGCUGGAGCGACUCCUCCGCACUCUACCAAGGGCAAAAAAGUGAGACUCUGUCUCUA